rnacentral:rRNA from 1 species
CCUANGGGAGGCAGCAGUCGAGAAUUUUUCACAAUGGGGGAAACCCUGAUGGAGCGACGCCGCGUGGGGGAUGAAGGGCUUCGGCUCGUAAACCCCUGUCAUUUGUGACCAAGGUUGCCGGUUUAAUACAACGGUAACUUGAUGGUAGCGAAAGAGGAAGGGACGGCUAACUCUGUGCCAGCAGCCGCGGUAAUACAGGGGGUGCAAGCGUUGUUCGGAAUUAUUGGGCGUAAAGAGCGUGUAGGCGGUUUGCUAAGUCUGAUGUGAAAGCCCUGGGCUCAACCCAGGAAGUGCAUUGGAAACUGUCAGACUUGAAUACGGGAGAGGGCAGUGGAAUUCCUAGUGUAGGAGUGAAAUCCGUAGAUAUUAGGAGGAACACCGGUGGCGAAGGCGGCUGCCUGGACCGAUAUUGACGCUGAGACGCGAAAGCGUGGGUAGCAAACAGGAUUAGAUACCCUGNUANUC